UUUUGUCCAUUUUGUUCAUCAUAGCUGAAAGUUAAAGAAGAGAAAGGAGAGGAGAAAGCUCUUGAGUAUUUGGUCAUUAGGAGGAGGAAAAUUGAAGGUGGUUCGUGUGUGGAUCUCGUUAGCAUAUCGUCGCAAACAGCCAUGCUGCAAAUUCUGUGGUGUGUAGCGGUUGGGUGGGUCGACUUGUCUCCCCACACAGUGUAAGGUUGGUACGGGGGUGUAUACGGUUGGAUAUGGUUGGGUUUCUGCAUAAACAUGUAAUAUCUGUUCUGUUCUGUUCUGUUAUGGGCCUAUGGGCUUUAUUUUGAAUUCUGUUCUGGGCUAAGGCCAACUUAUUCUAUUUCUGUGGUUUAAGCUGAUAUAGGCUAUGGUUGGGUUAAUUUACACACUGAGUUUCCCCAAACUCACCCCUUUUAUUUUCAUCCACGCAGGUAAUCCCCAACCAUAGUGGGCUUGGAGCUGUGAGGGAAUUCGGAGUGGCCACUUGUUCUGAAAGUUUGAUUUUCUUCUGGUGAACUGGACAUCCUUUUAUUUACGUUUGAAGUUUUGGGUUUUUAAAUGUAAUAAGGCCGCUUAAUUAUUUUUGAUGGUUUUAAUAUGUAUUACUAAGAUAGGUAAUACUUAUUUUAACUGUUGAAAUUGGAUAGCUUUAAGGCGCGUUUUCAAAAACAA